UGUUGUUGUUGUUGUGUUGUUGUUAUGUUUUGGGAUCUUGUUAAAGUAUUCCGUUUGGCGAUCGUCGUCUGCGAUUGCGAAUGUCACCAUGGGAAUUCACAUCAAAUAACAGUGAACAGCCAGCCGGAGGAUGAGUGAAAAUUUGAGGCAGGAUGCAGCAUUUUGAGAGUUGCUCCAACUUUUAACAAGACCUUGGAGAGAGCAUCUACAGAUCCAUCCAGAGCUUUUCUGACUUGUAAUGCUUCGGAGAGACUAAGACUGAGAGAGUACAAUGGACUCACCAAACCUAAACUUGUGAAAGAUGGACCUGGAGACCGAGGUGGGAGAGACACUUUGCCUGAGUAGAUUCAUCAGAAUGGACUUCCCUACACCCCUGGGCGCUCCCUGGAUCCUCAGUGACAUCUUCUUUGGAAAAUACUACUCCAAGUUUGAUUGAGUGAACAACCCACGCAGGUUUUGCUGACCCUGUCAAGGGUGUGUAAUUAAGGCUGAGUAUAAGAAACCUGCUUUGUAAUUUGGAAAAAAAUACUAUUUUUAAGUAAAAAUUAAUUGGCCAAACAAAAAUAUAACCAUGUUUUCAGUAUGGGUAACUAUCAGAAUAAUGGAAAAAUUACUAUAUUUUUAAAAUUAUUUUACUUUUUUUUAGUGCAAUUGUAAACAUAACUUUAUUUUUGUAUGUCUCAUUUAUUACAAAAAUAUUGGCCACAUGUUACCCAAACUCAGUGUACCAUUAAGUUUUUGUUUGACCAACUGUGGAAAAAAACAUUUUUUUUUUUUUUUUUGCCAACUUAAAAAAAAAAGUGGGCACAGAAAUGUUGCCCACCUGUGUACUUACCUGUUUUUUCUUUGGUGUAAUGGGAAACAUUACUUUAUUUUUGUUUGGCCAAGAUAUCAAAUUAGUGUAAUGUAGGAAGUAAAGGCUACCUCUAAUUGUUUGGUCUAACUGUGAAAAAAAACCAUGCUGCCCAUCCACUACCAACCCAUUUGUCAGAGGAAUGGAAAAAUCUUUUUAUUUGGGCAGACUUUGAAGAAGAAAAAAAGUUAAAAAGAUGUUGUCCACCUGUGUACUUGCCCUUUUUCAGUGUAAUGGGAAACAUAACUUUAUUUUUGUUUGGCCAUACUAUUUACGCAGAAUAAUGUGGCCCACCUGUUACCCAAAUUCAGUGUUAUAAGAAACAUGGUUAUAUUUUUGUAUGCCCCACCUGAAAAUAAACAAAAAUUAAGUGGCCCUCUUUUUGCUUUUCAGCGUAACAGGAAACAUGGCUAUCUUUUUGUUUGGCCUUCAAAAGAGUAAAAAACAUUGCCUACCUACCACCUUACUCAUUUACAGUGCCAUGGAAAACAUGACUAUCUUGUUAUUUGGCCAAACUUUGAAAAAAGAAAAAAAAGAAAGAGACGUUGCCCCCUGUUACCCAAAUUCAUUGUAACAUUAUUAUAUUUUUGUUUGGCCCAACUAUCCAAUUAUUGUAACAGAUAGGAAACAUUGCUACCGAUUUUCCGCCCCAAAAACAUGCUGCCCAUCCACUUACCUACCCAUUUUCAGAAUGAUGGAAAAAUUCCACCUAUUAAAGAUGCUAUGUCAGAUUUUUGGCCCAAAACAUUAAAAAGUAGAUUUUUUU